UGAAAACCUCACCCAUGUGGCACCUGGAAAUGUAGUUACAAUGAACUGAGUUGCACAAGAGAUCUUAGCCAUCUCUGCCUCUUAUAUUUGUUUCAGGAUCUUCAGAGAAUUAGUACCUCCAAGAUACACAAGUCCAGAAUGUCCAAAGGCCUUAAAUUUCAUGACAUUGGAGCAGACUUAUGGAAGAAGUGGAUAUAAGAAGCAGUUGAUUCUGAAAGUGUCUGCAGAAGGAGGUCAGAGGAAGACAUUUGAGAUCUCCACAAGAAGAAAUAAACCUCUGAACUCCCAUAGAUUUGGAGCCUGCCAAGGUCCUCCCUCCCACUCAAGUAAAGACAGUCUCACAACAAGGCUGAAGUAACAUCAAAAGAUAUUGCUGGAUAUGUUACUGUCCUGAUUUGGCUUCCAACAGAGGUCUGGAACUGGAGAAGACUCAGUCAGUAGUAUGUAUUUAUUUCUGAUGCUAUUGGAAACAAGGAACAAAUAUAGUUUUAGUGGUUCAGGACAGGGAAAAAGAUGAGGGUUAGAAAUUGGAACUUAAUUCCCUUUGAUCUUAACAUACAAAAGGAGAUGGAUGCAUCCUUUAUUGAAAAAUAGUCAGAGGGGCUAAUCAGUAUUGAGCUGACCUUGGAGUCAGAAAAAUCUAGGCUCAGGUUCUACCUUUUGCACCUGGACAGCUGACUAGGUAAGUCCCUUAAACUCUCCAUGGCACAAGUAACUACCUUAAACUGUAGGUACUUAAUAAGGCACCAUAGUAACUACUUAACAGUAUCUAGUGUUGUUGUUGAGUCAUUUUCUGUAGUUUCCAUCUCUUUGUGACCCCAUUUGUGAUUUUCCAUUUUCUUAUUUAGUUCAUUUUACAGUUGAGGAAGCUGAG
rnacentral:lncRNA from 1 species